rnacentral:lncRNA from 1 species
GAUAUGCACCCAAAAAAAUGAAGACACGGGAUUGGGUGAUCUUCCCAAAUAUCCAUAGGAUAUCUAACUUGAAUUAAUGGAGGAUGGUGACAAAGAAAGAGAAGGCACCAAAGAAAAGGAGAAAAGAAAGCACAUAGAGGAAAUGUGAAAGAGAGUGUUUGGAAUGGUAUCACGCAAUUUGUCUUUCCUUUGGUCCCACCAAGAGGGUUAGUUACUUUCCCCUUCUUACUCUCCUUCAUUUCCAUUACUACUAUCUAUUUUAAUUGUUCUUCUUUUUGUGCCGAUAUUAUAGCCUUGCACGUCAAAGAUGACUCUCUAUGAUUUAUUUCCACAUAGUUUUCUUAACCCUCUUAUUCAAGGCUUCCCCUUCAUUUUCUCCAUCUUAUAUGCAUUUCUUGUUUUGAUUAUUUGUUGUUUAGGUCACGAGGCCACAACAUGCUUGCCUUGCCUUCUUAGUUCUUACUUUUCAUAAUUCCGAAUAUAUGAACUCAUAAUGUCUUCUUCUAUUUUCUUUAAUUUGGUCCCCCAUUUCAGUUUUGGUAUAACGAUAGAAUAUAAUUUUUUAUUGUAAAAAAAUAUAACCUUUUAAUUUAUUAAAUACACUUCCCAUUAAAGAUUUUCCUUUUUAGGUUUCUUAAAAAAUAGUAACACCAAUUAUAUAAUCAGAUGCCCUUUAUUUCUUUAGCACAUAUAAAAAAAACCGAUAUUUUUGAAAUAACUUAUACUGGCUUAUUAACGAACGGAAGCAUAGAUUUAUACGAGGAGUGAUUUUUGUAAGAAAAAAGUAGUGAGGACUGAGGACACAGCAAUCAGUCCUGGUCCACCUCGAAAAGGGCAAGAAGACAUGUUAAAAAAAAAGGUAUGGAAUUAUUUAUGGAAUUGUCAGUUUGGGUUGGUGAUGCUAUAAUUUAUGAGGCAGUGUGUUAGUACACUGGCUACCGUUUCUGAUGAUAAUGAUAAUGAUAAUUGCAGUCACAAGAAAUAUGAGCAGAGCAGACAGAGAGCUCAGAGAGAUUGGUAAAGAAAGAUAGAUAGAAAGAAAGGCAAAUAAAGAGGGACUCGUGAGAUCGAUGUAAUGAGGAAACAGCAUCAAAGUGUGGAGAGGUGAUGGUGGAGCCUCUUCCUCUCUGCAAAACUCAAACCCUACUUAUUCCUUACAACACAUUCAUUAAUGUCAACAACUUCCUCAUUUCAUCCAUAUAGUAUAGGCUACAUAAAUAUUACAAGUUAUUGCACCCUG